rnacentral:rRNA from 1 species
CCAAUAGCGUAUAUUAAAGUUGUUGCAGUUAAAAAGCUCGUAGUUGAAUUUCGGGAUUGACGUGAUGGUCAUGCCUUAAGGGGUAUGAACUGUUACUGUUGAUUUCUCACCUUCUGGAGAACCGCGAUGCCCUUAAUUGGGUGUCGCGGGGAACCAGGACCUUUACUUUGAAAAAAUUAGAGUGUUUAAAGCAGGCAUUUUGCUUGAAUACAUUAGCAUGGAAUAAUAAAAUAGGACGGCAUGAUUCUAUUUUGUUGGUUUCUAGGAUCACCGUAAUGAUUAAUAGGGAUAGUUGGGGGCAUUAGUAUUCAAUUGUCAGAGGUGAAAUUCUUGGAUUUAUUGAAGACUAACUACUGCGAAAGCAUUUGCCAAGGAUGUUUUCAUUAAUCAAGAACGAAAGUUAGGGGAUCGAAGACGAUCAGAUACCGUCGUAGUCUUAACCAUAAACUAUGCCGACUAGGAAUCAGACGAUGUUAAUUUUUUAAUGACUCGUUUGGCACCUUACG